UCGGGUGAAUAAUACGCGGCAACCUGCCCCUCUGCUUCGAGAAAACCUUGGAAACGGGGUCUAAACCGGAUGUCCCCACCUGGUCGCAUGGCUGGCGGGGAAAGAUAGCUUUCGGCGGGAGAUGGGCUCGCGGCCUAUCCGCUUGUUGGUGGGGUGACGGCCUACCAAGGCGUCGAUGGGUAGCCGGCCUGAGAGGGUGGUCGGCCACACUUGGAAUGAGAUUCCGCCCAGACUCCUACGGGAGGCAGCAGUGGGGGAUAUUGCACAAUGGGCGCAAGCCUGAUGCAGCGACGCCGCGUGGGGGAUGGAGGCUUUCGGGUUGUAAACCCCUUUCGGCGCGGGACAAGGCUCCGUUUGGCGGGGUUGAGGGUACGCGUCAAAGAAGCGCCGGCUAACUACGUGCCAGCAGCCGCGGUAAUACGUAGGGCGCGAGCGUUGUCCGGAAUUAUUGGGCGUAAAGGGCUCGUAGGCGGCUUGUCGCGUCUGCUGUGAAAACGCGGGGCUCAACUCCGCGCGUGCAGUGGGUACGGGCAGGCUGGAGUGCGGCAGGGGUGGCUGGAAUUCCUGGUGUAGCGGUGGAAUGCGCAGAUAUCAGGAAGAACACCGAUGGCGAAGGCAGGCCACUGGGCCGUCACUGACGCUGAGGAGCGAAAGCGUGGGGAGCGAACAGG
rnacentral:rRNA from 1 species